rnacentral:rRNA from 1 species
AAACUAACAAGAUUUCCCCUAGUAGCGGCGAGCGAAGCGGGAAGAGCUCAAAUUUAUAAUCUGGCACUUUCAGUGUCCGAGUUGUAAUCUCUAGAAGUGUUUUCCGCGUUGGACCGCACACAAGUCUGUUGGAAUACAGCGGCACAGUGGUGACACCCCCGUACACGGUGCGGACGCCCAGCGCUUUGUGAUACACUUUCGAAGAGUCGAGUUGUUUGGGAAUGCAGCUCAAAUUGGGUGGUAAAUUCCAUCUAAAGCUAAAUAUUGGCGAGAGACCGAUAGCGAACAAGUACCGUGAGGGAAAGAUGAAAAGCACUUUGGAAAGAGAGUUAACAGUACGUGAAAUUGUUGGAAGGGAAACGCUUGAAGUCAGACUUGCUUGCCGGAGCUUGCUUCGGUUUGCAGGCCAGCAUCAGUUUUCCGGGGUGGAUAAUGGCGGUUAGAAGGUAGCAGCUUCAGCUGUGUUAUAGCUUUCCGCUGGAUACAUCCUGGGGGACUGAGGAACGCAGCGUGCUUUUAGCGGGGGUUUCGACCUCUUCACGCUUAGGAUGCUGGUGUAAUGGCUUUAAACGAC